GCUUUUCGGUCAGGGAAGUAACCUGUCGGGUUGGAAAGAUUCUAACUUUAAUCACAACGGUCAACACAAGCAACCUCCUCCCAUAAAAAGAUAAUUAAACUCGUUGAUUGAUUUGAUUCCCCAAUUUUCUUUCUUUUUCUAGUCUCUCCUCUAAUUUAUAUAUAUAUGAUGAUGGAUUCUCUCUAUCAGCUUGUGUUGAAAAAUAGGAAAAGCAUAUUCUCUUUUCACUUGAUGCUUUUUUUAUUUUUCUCCUUUGGACCAAUUAAGGUAAAUCAUUCAAUUUGUAAUCUUGUUGAGAUAAAUAAUAGUCCCAUGUAUAAGUACCUCGGAUCUGAGCUUAUCGUU